CAACGUUCUCAGGGCGGGGUGAAAUUCCCCACCGGCGGUGAUGGCCUGAAUGGCCCAAGCCCGCGAGCGCCCGCCUUCGGCGGGGUCAGCAGAUCCGGUGUGAUUCCGGAGCCGACGGUAAGAGUCCGGAUGAGAGAGAGCGGGA
rnacentral:ncRNA from 2 species